rnacentral:rRNA from 1 species
CCUACGGGUGGCUGCAGUGGGGAAUAUUGGACAAUGGGCGAAAGCCUGAUCCAGCCAUGCCGCGUGUGUGAAGAAGGCCUUCGGGUUGUAAAGCACUUUCAGUGGGGAAGAAAGCCUUGGGGCUAAUACCCUCGAGGAAGGACAUCACCCACAGAAGAAGCACCGGCUAACUCCGUGCCAGCAGCCGCGGUAAUACGGAGGGUGCGAGCGUUAAUCGGAAUUACUGGGCGUAAAGCGCGCGUAGGCGGUCUGAUAAGCCGGUUGUGAAAGCCCCGGGCUCAACCUGGGAACGGCAUCCGGAACUGUCAGGCUAGAGUGCAGGAGAGGAAGGUAGAAUUCCCGGUGUAGCGGUGAAAUGCGUAGAGAGCGGGAGGAAUACCAGUGGCGAAGGCGGCCUUCUGGACUGACACUGACGCUGAGGUGCGAAAGCGUGGGUAGCAAACAGGAUUAGAUACCCUAGUAGUC